UGGCGGACGGGUGAGUAAUGUCUGGGAAACUGCCUGAUGGAGGGGGAGUAACUACUGGAAACGGUAGCUAAUACCGCAUAACGUCGCAAGGCCAAAGAGGGGGACCUUCGGGCCUCUUGCCAUCGGAUGUGCCCAGAUGGGAUUAGCUAGUAGGUGGGGUAACGGCUCACCUAGGCGACGAUCCCUAGCUGGUCUGAGAGGAUGACCAGCCACACUGGAACUGAGACACGGUCCAGACUCCUACGGGAGGCAAGCAUG
rnacentral:rRNA from 1 species